rnacentral:lncRNA from 10 species
AUUCGAACGGCAGGCGGGAAGUGCUCUAGCAGGGGAGUCUGACCUUGUGAGGGAAUACCUGUGUCCCCCCUUUUUUCCCCUUUUUACCCAAUAAAACCCUGCCUUACUCACCCUUUAAAUCAUCUGCGAGCCUGAAUUUUCAUGGCCGUGGGACGGACAAGAACUUUAUCUUCAGCUGAACUAAGAAAAAGUCCUGCAACAUUUUUGGCGCGCAAUGUGGGGGCACCAGAAGAGGGCACCGUUGAGCUGUUGCAACUGUUCUGCUGGAGCCUUAUGUAUGUGGUUGAAACCACCUGUACUACUGGAAUGAAAGCACCUUUACAGAAGAGGCAAUGCAAGUUGUAUUCAUCACAUGUGUAGAAUGAAUUAAGAUUUAUGCCAGUUGCAAAGAAGAAUAUUGGCUCACUAUUUUUCCUCUGGGCAUCAUUCUCUAGUUGCCUUGGAAAUGAUGGCCGU